rnacentral:rRNA from 1 species
GCUGACGAGCGGCGGACGGGUGAGUAAUGCAUAGGAAUCUGCCCGGUAGUGGGGGAUAACCUGGGGAAACCCAGGCUAAUACCGCAUACGUCCUACGGGAGAAAGGGGGCUCCGGCUCCCGCUAUCGGAUGAGCCUAUGUCGGAUUAGCUAGUUGGUGAGGUAAUGGCUCACCAAGGCAACGAUCCGUAGCUGGUCUGAGAGGAUGAUCAGCCACAUCGGGACUGAGACACGGCCCGAACUCCUACGGGAGGCAGCAGUGGGGAAUAUUGGACAAUGGGCGAAAGCCUGAUCCAGCCAUGCCGCGUGUGUGAAGAAGGCCUUCGGGUUGUAAAGCACUUUCAGCGAGGAAGAACGCCUAGUGGUUAAUACCCAUUAGGAAAGACAUCACUCGCAGAAGAAGCACCGGCUAACUCCGUGCCAGCAGCCGCGGUAAUACGGAGGGUGCAAGCGUUAAUCGGAAUUACUGGGCGUAAAGCGCGCGUAGGUGGCUUGAUAAGCCGGUUGUGAAAGCCCCGGGCUCAACCUGGGAACGGCAUCCGGAACUGUCAGGCUAGAGUGCAGGAGAGGAAGGUAGAAUUCCCGGUGUAGCGGUGAAAUGCGUAGAGAUCGGGAGGAAUACCAGUGGCGAAGGCGGCCUUCUGGACUGACACUGACACUGAGGUGCGAAAGCGUGGGUAGCAAACAGGAUUAGAUACCCUGGUAGUCCACGCCGUAAACGAUGUCGACCAGCCUUUGGGUGCCUAGCGCACUUUGUGGCGAANUUAACGCGAUAAGUCGACCGCCUGGGGAGUACGGCCGCAAGGUUAAAACUCAAAUGAAUUGACGGGGGCCCGCACAAGCGGUGGAGCAUGUGGUUUAAUUCGAUGCAACGCGAAGAACCUUACCUACUCUUGACAUCCUGCGAACUUGUGAGAGAUCACUUGGUGCCUUCGGGAACGCANAGACAGGUGCUGCAUGGCUGUCGUCANCUCGUGUUGUGAAAUGUUGGGUUAAGUCCCGUAACGANCGCAACCCUUGUCCUUAUUUGCCAGCGGGUAAU